rnacentral:rRNA from 1 species
GACGAACGCUGGCGGCGUGCUUAACACAUGCAAGUCGAACGGAAAGACCCUGCUUUUGUGGGGUGCUCGAGUGGCGAACGGGUGAGUAACACGUGAGUAACCUGCCCUUGACUUUGGGAUAACUUCAGGAAACUGGGGCUAAUACCGGAUAGGAGCUCCUGCUGCAUGGUGGGGGUUGGAAAGUUUCGGCGGUUGGGGAUGGACUCGCGGCUUAUCAGCUUGUUGGUGGGGUAGUGGCUUACCAAGGCUUUGACGGGUAGCCGGCCUGGGAGGGUGACCGGCCACAUUGGGACUGGGAUACGGCCCAGACUCCUACGGGAGGCAGCAGUGGGGAAUAUUGCACAAUGGGCGGAGGCCGGAUGCAGCAACGCCGGGUGCGGGAUGACGGCCUUCGGGUUGUAAACCGCUUUCGCCUGUGACGAAGCGUGAGUGACGGUAAUGGGGAAAGAAGCACCGGCUAACUACGU